rnacentral:rRNA from 1 species
ACGCUCGACACCUACGGGAGGAGCAGUGGGGAAUAUUGCACAAUGGGGGAAACCCGUGAUGCAGCGACGCCGCGUGGAGGAAGAAGGUCUUCGGAUUGUAAACUCCUGUUGUUGGGGAAAAAGAGGAUGGUACCCAACAAGGAAGUGACGGCUAACUACGUGCCUAGCAGCCGCGGUAAUCUGAGCGGGCUGGCAAGGC